CUCAGUGGUAGAGCGCUUGCCUAGGAAGCACAAGGCUCUGGGUUCGGUCCCCAGCUCUGAAAAAAAAAAAAAACCAAAAAAAAAAAAAAAAAAAAAAAGGAUGUGAACAGUCUUCCCCUUUGUUUUUACCUCCUUGCUGACUGAAUGCUUCUAAAAGGGGUAAAUAGUUACAAAUGUAGCAAUAUGAUCUUGUGAAAUACAAUGUUUUGUCCCGCCCCACAGACUCUUUGCCGUUGUUGUUCUAGGAUGAUCUCUGUGCAAGGUGAGUCCAGACCAUUAGCACCUGUGAUCUGCUCUGAUCUUGGGACUAGAGAACUAGAGGACAAAGUCUUGUUCUGAACUCAGGCUCUGAUCCAGGUGGAAAUCAGGAAUGCCUUUCUGCUUCCCACUCUUUCUCCAAAACUACAUAACACUCUCCACGCUGGACAUUGAUGUACCCUGUGCAUGUGGACACUGUCUAUACAGCUUCUUGGGAGAAUAUCCUCCAUUGUGAAUCACUCAGCAUGAACGCUCAGGACAAGCCUAGCAUUGUGCGAGCGGCCCACUUGCAGGUUCCCUCCCAGAUUUCAGCCGCCGAGAUGCCUGAGAACUGAUUUCCAAGGAUUUGAGCAAGUGAGCGGGACAUGGAUUUUUCUUCUUCUAGCACAGCUCUGCUUGUACUCAGAGCCCCUCGAAUCCCUCUGGAACAGCC
rnacentral:lncRNA from 1 species